GUUGAACGCUGGCGGAAUGCUUUACACAUGCAAGUCGAACGGCAGCACGGACUUCGGUCUGGUGGCGAGUGGCGAACGGGUGAGUAACAUAUCGGAACGUAUCCAAUAAUGGGGGAUAACGAGUCGAAAGAUUCGCUAAUACCGCAUACGCCCUACGGGGGAAAGCUGGGGACCUUCGGGCCUGGCGUUAAUGGAGCGGCCGAUAUCUGAUUAGCUAGUUGGUGAGGUAAAGGCUCACCAAGGCGACGAUCAGUAGCUGGUCUGAGAGGACGACCAGCCACACUGAAACUGAGACACGGUCCAGACUCCUACGGGAGGCAGCAGUGGGGAAUUUUAGACAAUGGGCGCAAGCCUGAUCCAGCCAUUCCGCGUGAGUGAAGAAGGCCUUCGGGUUGUAAAGCUCUUUCGCAAGGGAAGAAAACUUAGCCACUAACAUUGGUUGAGGUUGACGGUACCUUGAUAAGAAGCACCGGCUAACUACGUGCCAGCCGCCGCCGUAA
rnacentral:rRNA from 1 species